rnacentral:lncRNA from 1 species
UGCCAAUGUGUCAUCAUGUGUUUCCAUGAUUUUUGCAAACCUUUAAUAUAUCCCCGGGUUCCUUUUCUUCUAUGCUAGAAUUGGUUUGGAAAAACUGUAUGCAACUAUGGCCAUGAAAUUGUAUUAAGAAUUAUGCAAGGAGUGAGUCAUCAUUUCUUGAAUGGGUUUGCAGUUCUAGCUCUUUGUAUACCACACAAUAUUGUGUCAUGUCUUGAUAUUAUUAUAACUUUAAUAUGGUCCAAACACACACAACUUCCUACAGAAAACUUACUAUGAAUUUUCUUUUGGCAACGUUUAUGAAACACAAAUGAAGUAAGAUGCCAGAAAUCAAUUGAAGAAAUUGAUGGAAAUUAGUAGAAAAUUAUCUUUCUAACAUUUCAGUAUUAGCAAACUGAUUCUAAUGAGAAUAGUAGAUUUGUAUACGCCAUACAGUAGGGUGUGGAUUCAUUCCUUAAGGCUGGCUUAUAAUUAUGUUCUAAUUAUAGUUUCUGUGUCAGCCCAUUCUCAUUCAUUGUAUACUUUUAAUGAUAACAGAGCGGCUUCUUUUAUAAAUUCUUAGCUUCUUUUAUAGAUUCUUAGUUACUCAUGUAUGCAGGUCAGCAUCAAGGCUAUGAAGCGAAAGAUCAGACAAAGGUUUUUGCCAUGUUUGUCCUUCAGCUUAGUAACUGUACGUCUAGUUCUUUCCCCUAUUGUAGUCCUUUUAUUUGCACCGUACUUCUUGAAAGAUGAUAACUUGCAAUCAUUAUUGUAGAGUGGCCGUGCUUCUAUUUAUAUUUCUGAAAUAAACUGAAAUUUCAUUUGCAUCUCUAUAACUUCAUUUUGUUAAUAAAAAGGUUUGAUUAAUAAGCAGUGCAAUUACAUGGCUUUAUCCUUAUUUCCCAUUGUAUCAUGUCUCCACUUCUAUCUAACAGGGAUCGUAGCUCUUGCUAUAGUUGUAAGUUGUGAUCUUAAAUGUAUUUUUUUUUGAUAUCGUGAUCCUAAAUGUAAACUUGAUGGUGCUGAAAUUACAAAUGAAUUCUCGGCAGUGCAUGUUGAUAUGGCACUUGUGAAAACUGAAGAUUUGGUACGGAGUCGUAAAACGUGUAAUAUUCUCGGUAAUGCAGAAAAACAAAGAUUGCAUUGCCUUCAACCUUUGUACGUGACAUAUCGUGCCUAUAUCACUACUUGCAUCAUGUCAAUGCAUUCUGUGUUAACAAUUCAUUUUGUUAUUUUCUUUGUAGAUUCAAAAGAUAUAUGGCUGAUUAUAUGGUUGCGUGGCAAGAAUACUGCAAUGAUGAUGAUGGUGUUCUACUGUUCUGGUUCAUGAUGAUGAUGAUAAUGACGACAGAUGCUUUUAGUUGUAGCUAAGUUGUAGGGAUGUUGUUCCUGUUGGAUGAUGUUCGUGUUCCUCAGUUAAGUUUUUGUUAAGUUGUAGGGAUGUUGAUGGAUGCUUUCAGUUUAAGUUUUAAUGUCAAGAAAAUAUUUAGAUUAUGUAUCACAAUUGGAUGAAGUUCCUCAUGUAAUAUCUACUAUUGUAAUCCAGCAGUUCUAUCCAAUAUAUGAUUUCGGAUUUCGUCCUGUGUAUAUUCCUUUUUUUUCCUCACUUGAUAUACAUAAUUAUUACCAUUAUGUGGAACAUUAAUUUAAUAGCUGGGAUUAUAGAUAUUCACAUUAUAUAUGUACUAGUCGCAAAUUCUUGUUACCAAGCAAUGAGAUUUGGAUUCCUGUAUAUUAAG